CCUACGGGAGGCAGCAGUGGGGAAUUUUGGACAAUGGGCGCAAGCCUGAUCCAGCAAUGCCGCGUGCAGGAUGAAGGCCUUCGGGUUGUAAACUGCUUUUGUACGGAACGAAACGGUGAGCUCUAAUAAAGUUUGCUAAUGACGGUACCGUAAGAAUAAGCACCGGCUAACUACGUGCCAGCAGCCGCGGUAAUACGUAGGGUGCGAGCGUUAAUCGGAAUUACUGGGCGUAAAGCGUGCGCAGGCGGUUAUAUAAGACAGAUGUGAAAUCCCCGGGCUCAACCUGGGACCUGCAUUUGUGACUGUAUAGCUAGAGUACGGUAGAGGGGGAUGGAAUUCCGCGUGUAGCAGUGAAAUGCGUAGAUAUGCGGAGGAACACCGAUGGCGAAGGCAAUCCCCUGGACCUGUACUGACGCUCAUGCACGAAAGCGUGGGGAGCAAACAGGAUUAGAUACCCUGGUAGUCCACGCCCUAAACGAUGUCAACUGGUUGUUGGGUCUUCACUGACUCAGUAACGAAGCUAACGCGUGAAGUUGACCGCCGNGGGAGGUACGGCCGCGAGGUUAGUAAACGUUAAAGUAGUAAGUUAGUACGGACGUGAGACGUAGACCGACGGACGACGACGAGGGAGGAGG
rnacentral:rRNA from 1 species